rnacentral:rRNA from 1 species
AACGACGCGUGGCGGCAUGCUUUACACAUGCAAGUCGAACGGCAGCGACGGGGCAACCCUGGUGGCGAGUGGCGAACGGGUGAGUAAUACAUCGGAACGUGCCCAAUCGUGGGGGAUAACGUAGCGAAAGCUACGCUAAUACCGCAUACGAUCUACGGAUGAAAGCGGGGGAUCGCAAGACCUCGCGCGAAUGGAGCGGCCGAUGGCAGAUUAGGUAGUUGGUGGGGUAAAGGCUCACCAAGCCAACGAUCUGUAGCUGGUCUGAGAGGACGACCAGCCACACUGGGACUGAGACACGGCCCAGACUCCUACGGGAGGCAGCAGUGGGGAAUUUUGGACAAUGGGCGAAAGCCUGAUCCAGCCAUUCCGCGUGCAGGAUGAAGGCCUUCGGGUUGUAAACUGCUUUUGGACGGAACGAAAAGCCACUUUCUAAUACAAGGUGGUCAUGACGGUACCGUCAGAAUAAGCACCGGCUAACUACGUG